rnacentral:rRNA from 1 species
UAAUACAGAGGGUGCGAGCGUUAAUCGGAGUGACUGGGCGUAAAGGGCGCGUAGGCGGUUAGAUAAGUCUGAUGUGAAAGACCUGGGCUUAACCUGGGAGUUGCAUUGGAAACGGUCUAGCUAGAGUAUGAGAGAGGGAAGUGGAAUUUCCGGUGUAGCGGUGAAAUGCGUAGAUAUCGGGACGAACACUCGUGGCGAAGGCGACUUUCUGGCUCAAAACUGACGCUGAGGCGCGAAAGCGUGGGGAGCGAACAGGAUUAGAUACCCUGGUAGUCCACGCGGUAAACGAUGAGAACUGGAGGUAUGUGGGCGUAAGCCUGUGUGUCUGUUAAGCUAACGCACUAAGUUCUCCGCCUGGGGAGUACGGCCGCAAGGUUA